CUACGGGGGGCAGCAGUGAGGAAUAUUGCACAAUGGGGGGAACCCUGAUGCAGCAACGCCGCGUGGAGGAUGACGCAUUUCGGUGUGUAAACUCCUUUUAUAUGUCAAGAAAAUGACGGUAGCAUAUGAAUAAGCACCGGCUAACUCCGUGCCAGCAGCCGCGGUAAUACGGAGGGUGCAUGCGUUACUCGGAAUCACUGGGCGUAAAGGACGCGUAGGCGGGUUGGAAAGUCAGGUGUGAAAUCCUACAGCUUAACUGUAGAACUGCACUUGAAACUUCUAAUCUAGAGUAUGGGAGGGGGAGAUGGAAUUAGUGGUGUAGGGGUAAAAUCCGUAGAUAUCACUAGGAAUACCUAAAGCGAAGGCGAUCUCCUGGAACAUUACUGACGCUAAGGCGUGAAAGCGUGGGGUGCAAACAGGAUUAGAUACCCCUGUAGUC
rnacentral:rRNA from 1 species